rnacentral:rRNA from 1 species
UCAAGUGAAUAAGUGCAUCAGGUGGAUGCCUUGGCGAUGAUAGGCGAUGAAGGACGUGUAAGCCUGCGAAAAGCGUGGGGGAGCUGGCAAUAAAGCUAUGAUCCCGCGGUGUCCGAAUGGGGAAACCCACUGCAUUCUGUGCAGUAUCCUAAGUUGAAUACAUAGACUUAGAGAAGCGAACCCGGAGAACUGAACCAUCUAAGUACCCGGAGGAAAAGAAAUCAACCGAGAUUCCGCAAGUAGUGGCGAGCGAACGCGGAGGAGCCUGUACGUAAUAACUGUCGAGAUAGAAGAACAAGCUGGGAAGCUUGACCAUAGUGGGUGAUAGUCCCGUAUUCGAAAUCUCAACAGUGGUACUAAGCGUACGAAAAGUAGGGCGGGACACGUGAAAUCCUGUCUGAAUAUGGGGGGACCAUCCUCCAAGGCUAAAUACUCAUCAUCGACCGAUAGUGAACCAGUACCGUGAGGGAAAGGCGAAAAGAACCCCGGGAGGGGAGUGAAAUAGAACCUGAAACCUGAUGCAUACAAACAGUGGGAGCACCCAUGUGGUGUGACUGCGUACCUUUUGUAUAAUGGGUCAACGACUUACAUUCAGUAGCGAGCUUAACCGAAUAGGGGAGGCGUAGGGAAACCGAGUCUUAAUAGGGCGAACAGUUGCUGGGUGUAGACCCGAAACCGAGUGAUCUAUCCAUGGCCAGGUUGAAGGUGCCGUAACAGGUACUGGAGGACCGAACCCACGCAUGUUGCAAAAUGCGGGGAUGAGCUGUGGAUAGGGGUGAAAGGCUAAACAAACUCGGAGAUAGCUGGUUCUCCCCGAAAACUAUUUAGGUAGUGCCUCGAGCAAGACACUGAUGGGGGUAAAGCACUGUUAUGGCUAGGGGGUUAUUGCAACUUACCAACCCAUGGCAAACUAAGAAUACCAUCAAGUGGUUCCUCGGGAGACAGACAGCGGGUGCUAACGUCCGUUGUCAAGAGGGAAACAACCCAGACCGCCAGCUAAGGUCCCAAAUGAUAGAUUAAGUGGUAAACGAAGUGGGAAGGCCCAGACAGCCAGGAUGUUGGCUUAGAAGCAGCCAUCAUUUAAAGAAAGCGUAAUAGCUCACUGGUCGAGUCGUCCUGCGCGGAAGAUGUAACGGGGCUCAAAUCUAUAACCGAAGCUGCGGAUGCCAGUUUACUGGCAUGGUAGGGGAGCGUUCUGUAGGCCGAUGAAGGUGCAUUGUAAAGUGUGCUGGAGGUAUCAGAAGUGCGAAUGUUGACAUGAGUAGCGAUAAAGCGGGUGAAAAGCCCGCUCGCCGAAAGCCCAAGGUUUCCUACGCAACGUUCAUCGGCGUAGGGUGAGUCGGCCCCUAAGGCGAGGCAGAAAUGCGUAGUCGAUGGGAAACAGGUUAAUAUUCCUGUACUUGAUUCAAAUGCGAUGUGGGGACGGAGAAGGUUAGGUUAGCAAGCUGUUGGAAUAGCUUGUUUAAGCCGGUAGGUGGAAGACUUAGGCAAAUCCGGGUCUUCUUAACACCGAGAAGUGACGACGAGUGUCUACGGACAUGAAGUAACCGAUACCACGCUUCCAGGAAAAGCCACUAAGCUUCAGUUUGAAUCGAACCGUACCGCAAACCGACACAGGUGGGCAGGAUGAGAAUUCUAAGGCGCUUGAGAGAACUCGGGAGAAGGAACUCGGCAAAUUGAUACCGUAACUUCGGGAGAAGGUAUGCCCUCUAAGGUUAAGGACUUGCUCCGUAAGCCUCGGAGGGUCGCAGAGAAUAGGUGGCUGCGACUGUUUAUUAAAAACACAGCACUCUGCUAACACGAAAGUGGACGUAUAGGGUGUGACGCCUGCCCGGUGCUGGAAGGUUAAUUGAAGAUGUGAGAGCAUCGGAUCGAAGCCCCAGUAAACGGCGGCCGUAACUAUAACGGUCCUAAGGUAGCGAAAUUCCUUGUCGGGUAAGUUCCGACCCGCACGAAUGGCGUAACGAUGGCCACACUGUCUCCUCCCGAGACUCAGCGAAGUUG